UACAGAGGUCUCAAGCGUUGUUCGGAUUCAUUGGGCGUAAAGGGUGCGUAGGCGGCGCGGUAAGUCGGGUGUGAAAUCUCGGAGCUUAACUCUGAAACUGCAUUCGAUACUGCCGUGCUUGAGGACUGGAGAGGAGACUGGAAUUUACGGUGUAGCGGUGAAAUGCGUAGAUAUCAAGAGGAACACCUGAGGUGAAGACGGGUUGCUGGGCUGACACUGACGCUGAGGCGCGAAAGCCAGGGGAGCAAACGGG
rnacentral:rRNA from 1 species